rnacentral:rRNA from 1 species
GCGUCAUUGACAAAAUAUCCUACCUAGAGCAGUAAUGCUGAGACCCGAAAGAUGGUGAACUAUGCCGGAGUAGGGCAAAGCCAGAGGAAACUUUGGUGGAGGCUCGUAGCGAUGCUGACGUGCAAAUCGNUCGUNGAANUUGGGUAUAGGGGCGAAAGACUAAUCGAACCAUCUAGUAGCUGNUUCCCUCNNNNGNUUCUCUCNNGANAGCGGNCCGACANUGNGUUGUNUUGUGUGGUAAAGCGAANGAUUAGCNUAUUUGGGGAUGUAAUAUCUUCGGUCGAUUCUCAAACUUUAAAUACGCAAGAUAGAGGUGGUUGCUUAANUGAACCUCUCUACUGAAAACGUCGGCCCUGUGGGCCACUUUUGGUAAGCAGAACNGGCGNUNUGGGAUGAACCAUAAGUUUGGUUAAGGCGUCAAAAUACCCGCUUAAAGAUCCCACAAAAGGUGUUGGUUCAUCUAGACAGCAGGACNNNNNNNAGAGUCGAAUCCGCUAAGGAGUGUGUAACAACUCACCCUGCCGAAUGAACUAGCCCUGAAAAUGGAUGACGCUUAAGCGGGUUGCCGACACCAGACCGUUUCGAUAAGAAGCGAUCGAAAUGAGUAGGAGGGCGUGGCGGUUUUGUUGAGAAGGAUGAGACGCAAGUCUAUCUGAAACGGCCGCUAGUGCAGAUCUUGGUGGUAGUAGCAAAUAUUCAAGCGAGAUCCUUGAAGGGCGAAGCGGGGAAGGGUUCCACGCGAACAUUGAUUGGGCGUGGGUGAGUCGUUCCUAAGCCGGGUGGUAAUCGUUCUUCGAUCGGCGAAAGGGAAGCGGGUUAAAAUUCUCGCACACGGAUGUGGAAGCGGUGACGCAAAUUGAGGUGGAGACGUUAGCGGUGGCACUGGGCAGAGUUUUCUUUUCUGUUUAACCUGUGGUUGCACUCUGUGAAAUCCGAUUAUCGGGCGAAACAGGUGCUUAUGGGAAUAGCGUCGGGGCGUCCCCGGCGUCCAGUACGCCACCGAUAGCCCUUGAAAAUCCAUCUGCAAUAAAAUUUCACGCCGUGGCGUACCGAUAACCGCAUCAGGUCCCCAAGGUGAACAGCCUCUGCUCAAUAUGAACAAUGCAGGUAAGGGAAGUCGGCAAAAUAGACCCGUAACUUUGGGAAAAGGGUUGGCUCUAGUGGGGUGAAGGAUUUUACUGAGUCAUUGGGAUUUGUCCGAGUUUGUAUCGGGCGGAGUUAACUGUGGCAACGCGGUUUUGGCUCUACUUGGUCGCUUGGAUGAGUUUGGAUGCCUCGACCUUCAGCAUGCUCCAAACUAGAACUGCAACGGGCAAAGGGAAUCCGACUGUUUAAUAAAACAAAGCAUUGCGAUGGCCGAGGUCGGUGUAGACGCAAUGUGAUUUCUGCUCAGUGCUCUGAAUGUCAAAGUGAAGAGAUUCAAACAAGCGCGGGUAAACAGCGGGAGUAACUAUGACUCUCUUAAGGUAGCCAAAUGCCUCGUCAUCUAAUUAGUGACGCGCAUGAAUGGAUUAACGAGAUUCCUACUGUCCCUAUCUGCUUCUAGCGAAACCACAGCCGAGGGAACGGGCUCGGCGAAAUCGGCGGGGAAAGAAGACCCUGUUGAGCUUGACUCUAUUCUAAUUUUGUGACGCAAGUUAGGAGGUGUAGCAUAGGUGGGAGACUUCGGUCGCCAAUGAAAUACCACUACUCUUAAUCUUGUUUUACUUAUGGCAUUAGACUGCACGAUCUUUACGGUCUAUUUUAGCGUCAACUUGGAUUAUGGCAUGUGCUCGUAAGAGUGAUGUCCCCUUGGAGCAGCGUGCCUGACAUAUUUAGGAGGGGAGUUUGGCUGGGGCGGCACAUCUUCUACAAGACAACGAAGGUGUCCAAAGAUAAGCUCAGUGAGAACAGAAAUCUCACGUAGCGCAAAAGGGUAAAAGCUUGUUUGAUUUCNAUUUUCAGUGUGAGUUGAAAACGCGAAAGCGUGGCCUAUCNAUCCUUUCACAAUUCGAGGUUUGAANCGAGAGGUGUCAGAAAAGUUACCACANGGAUAACUGGCUUGUGGCGGCCAAGCGUUCAUAUCNACNUCNCUUUUUAAUCCUUCNAU